AUUGAACGCUGGCGGCAGGCCUAACACAUGCAAGUCGAGCGGCAGCGGGAAAGUAGCUUGCUACUUUUGCCGGCGAGCGGCGGACGGGUGAGUGAUGCCUGGGAAAUUGCCCAGUCGAGGGGGAUAACAGUUGGAAACGACUGCUAAUACCGCAUACGCCCUACGGGGGAAAGCAGGGGACCUUCGGGCCUUGCGCGAUUGGAUAUGCCCAGGUGGGAUUAGCUAGUUGGUGAGGUAAUGGCUCACCAAGGCGACGAUCCCUAGCUGGUCUGAGAGGAUGAUCAGCCACACUGGAACUGGGACACGGUCCAGACUCCUACGGGAGGCAGCAGUGGGGAAUAUUGCACAAUGGGGGAACCCUGAUGCAGCCAUGCCGCGUGUGUGAAGAAGGCCUUCGGGUUGUAAAGCACUUUCAGCGAGGAGGAAAGGUUGUUGGCUAAUAUCCAACAGCUGUGACGUUACUCGCAGAAGAAGCACCGGCUAACUCCGUGCCAGCCGCCGCAGUAACAC
rnacentral:rRNA from 1 species